rnacentral:rRNA from 1 species
AGGCAUGUGCACGCCCUGCUCAUCCACUCUACACCUGUGCACUUACUGUAGGUUUGGCGUGGGCUUUCGGGGCCUUCACGGGCUUUGAGAGCAUUCUGCCUGCCUAUGUAUCACUAUAAACACUACGAAGUAACAGAAUGUAAUCGCGUCUAACGCAUCUUAAUACAACUUUCAGCAACGGAUCUCUUGGCUCUCGCAUCGAUGAAGAACGCAGCGAAAUGCGAUAAGUAAUGUGAAUUGCAGAAUUCAGUGAAUCAUCGAGUCUUUGAACGCACCUUGCGCUCCUUGGUAUUCCGAGGAGCAUGCCUGUUUGAGUGUCAUGGUAUUCUCAACCCACACAUCCUUGUGAUGCUUGUGAGGCUUGGACUUGGAGGCUUGCUGGCCCAUCGCGGUCGGCUCCUCUUGAAUGCAUUAGCUUGGUUCCUUGCGGAUCGGCUCUCAGUGUGAUAAUUGUCUACGCUGUGACCGUGAAGCGUUUGGCGAGCUUCUAACCGUCCUGCUAGGGACAACUUACUUGACAUCUGACCUCAAAUCAGGUAG